rnacentral:rRNA from 1 species
CCUACGGGAGGCUGCAGUGGGGAAUAUUGCGCAAUGGGCGAAAGCCUGACGCAGCGACGCCGCGUGAGGGAUGAAGGUCUUCUGAUCGGAAACCUCUGUCAGCAGGGAAGCACGGUCACUGUGCUAAUCAGCAGUGAAUUGACGGUACCUGCAAAGGUAGCACCAGCUAACUCCGUGCCAGCAGCCGCGGUAAUACGGAGGGUGCGAGCGUUAAUCGGAAUUACUGGGCGUAAAGCGCUCGUAGGCGGUAUGUCAAGUCAAGGGUGAAAUCCCCGCGCUCAACGUGGGAACUGCCUUUGAAACUGGCAAACUGGAGUGUGUGAGAGGAUAGUGGAAUUCCAGGUGUAGGAGUGAAAUCCGUAGAUAUCUGGAGGAACAUCAGUGGCGAAGGCGACUAUCUGGCACAUAACUGACGCUGAGGAGCGAAAGCGUGGGUAGCAAACAGGAUUAGAUACCCCGGUAGUC